CCUACGGGUGGCAGCAGUGAGGAAUAUUGGUCAAUGGGCGGAAGCCUGAACCAGCCAAGUCGCGUGAGGGAGUAAGGCCCUACGGGUCGUAAACCUCUUUUGCCGGGGAGCAGUGCUCAGCACGUGACCUGGCCGGGAGCGUACCCGGAGAAAAAGCAUCGGCUAACUCCGUGCCAGCAGCCGCGGUAAUACGGAGGAUGCGAGCGUUAUCCGGAUUUAUUGGGUUUAAAGGGUGCGUAGGCGGGCCUUUAGGCCGGCGGUAAAAUUGCGGGGCUCAACCCCGGCGUGCCGUCGGAACCGGGGGCCUUGAGUGCGGGAGAAGUACGCGGAAUGCGUGGUGUAGCGGUGAAAUGCAUAGAUAGCACGCAGAACCCCGAUUGCGAAGGCAGCGUACCGGCCCGUCACUGACGCUGAGGCACGAAAGCGCGGGUAUCGAACAGGAUUAGAUACCCGGGUAGUC
rnacentral:rRNA from 1 species